rnacentral:lncRNA from 1 species
CAAUCUACCAGAUUUUACAGUGCCCUGUGAAGUAUAUAUGUACAUAUGUAUAAGCAGAAUCUGCUUUUACUUCCUAGUGCAUUUUCGCAGAUCGAUUGGUUAGUAUUUCCACCCAGUUUCCUUCAUCCAUAGCUUAAAUGACAUUAAUGCUGAAUACGAUAGACAUAUUGCGCAUCCUCGGAUAUGUACGUCCCUCUAUUCUCAGUCAAUCUAAUUAUUUUCGUGGCAUUUCCUAUCCUAUACCCUGCAACGAGCGUCCUACGGUCAGUUUUUUAUUUGCCAUCACAUCUCAGUGGAGACUAGAGGGCGCUAGAUGAUCGAAUUCUACCAGACUAUGUUAACAGAACAGCUUGGAAAAGCUUGCGGCUCUAUAAAAAAAACUGCAGCUAAACCUUACUCUCUUUCUCAAACAUUCCUUUGUUGCGGCGUUGACUUCCGAAAGGAAAGUAAAGAAAAAACCAAACUAUAAGCGUUUCAACAUUGCUAUUUCGUAUGCAUGGUAUACGUAUCGUGGGACAAAUUUUAUACACGGUACUCGAAGAGUAAAGGGUGUAUUAUAUCUGUGGUACAAAAUGUAACACCCAGAAAGAAGCCUUUCCGACCCUUAAAAUAUAUAUAUUCUUGAUCAGCAUCAAUAGCCGGAACCUAUCCUUGGAUAGGGUCUCUAGGGACUUUUCGCGAGCUUCGAAGUAGCCGUCUUUUUAAACUUUUCCCAGUUAAAAAUAAAGGAAUUUCUAUAGAAUUUCUUCGUAGCGUUCUUAAAUUAAUCACACUUGAACUGAAUGUAGAAGGAUGGUCUUUUCAAAACUCCAAGACAGAUAC